ACCUUGAGCCUGGUGGGAUUUGAACUGCCAAAUUGUAGGCAGCUGGCUGCAGAAGUAGCUUGCAGUACUACACUCUAAUCAAUGUGCCACAGAGGCUCACGAUAAAGCAAAAAGAAGCAGUAU